AGCAUCCGUCUCCGCAGAAUUAUAAAAUAGCUGUUGCUCUGUGUUUGCACCUUCAUCCAGGAGAGCGGGCAUAUCACCUGCCCUGUGCACACGCCGCUCAACCGAACCCCCGCGUGCCAUUCUUCUUAGUUGUACGUCUGUUUUCUUGGAAAACAGCGCUAAAUGCUGCCAUGUUUUCGUAACUGGGUCUCAUGAAAUCUGAACGACGACACCUUCACGAGAGCUCAGCCGAGAGAAAGCGGGAACGGAUUGGCCUUCAGGAAAGGGAACCAACAGGAUCAUCAAGACGGAGUCCCUUGUCUCAUCAGUUCUCCAAGAGGAACGCAGUCACCCUCGUCAGCGCCCUGCCCAGCUCUGCCCGUCAUUCCUGCUGGUUGACGACAUCACCAUCAUCAGCCAUCAUCCAUCACUGACUAUCCAGAUGGUUCAACCACCCUCUCCAGGAUCUGUGGCUGUAAAGAAUUCAAUUUCCUCCUCUUUAAUAUACGCAAGAGCUGAACUGUGUUACCCUGCAGCGUCUUAAGGAAAAGGAUUUCACCAUGAAUCUUGUAAAGCUCAUCUGGAAAUUGAUUCUGGGCAAGGUGUGCGCAAGACAAGCAGAUGCUGACAUUUUCCUCAAAUGGAAUUUCUUCACCAAAACAAACAUUCAGAUCACUUUGGGAGGAGAUCCGAGAAUGGGCCACUUGCAGACGACUGGCAAAAAAACAGUGGGCUGACUGGUUUGUUGUCAUUUUUACCAACCUGCUCCCCCCACCCCCGCCCAAA